GCAGUAGGGAAUCUUCCGCAAUGGACGAAAGUCUGACGGAGCAACGCCGCGUGAGUGAUGAAGGUUUUCGGAUCGUAAAGCUCUGUUGUUAGGGAAGAACAAGUACCGUUCGAAUAGGGCGGUACCUUGACGGUACCUAACCAGAAAGCCACGGCUAACUACGUGCCAGCAGCCGCGGUAAUACGUAGGUGGCAAGCGUUGUCCGGAAUUAUUGGGCGUAAAGGGCUCGCAGGCGGUUUCUUAAGUCUGAUGUGAAAGCCCCCGGCUCAACCGGGGAGGGUCAUUGGAAACUGGGGAACUUGAGUGCAGAAGAGGAGAGUGGAAUUCCACGUGUAGCGGUGAAAUGCGUAGAGAUGUGGAGGAACACCAGUGGCGAAGGCGACUCUCUGGUCUGUAACUGACGCUGAGGAGCGAAAGCGUGGGGAGCGAACAGGAUUAGAUACCCC
rnacentral:rRNA from 1 species